CCUACGGGAGGCAGCAGUGGGGAAUAUUGGGCAAUGGGCGCAAGCCUGACCCAGCAACGCCGCGUGAAGGAAGAAGGCUUUCGGGUUGUAAACUUCUUUUCUCAGGGACGAAGCAAGAGACGGUACCUGAGGAAUAAGCCACGGCUAACUACGUGUCAGCAGCCGCGGUAUUACGUAGGUGGCACGCGUUAUCCGGAUUUACUGGGUGUAUAGGGCGUGUAGGCGGGAAAGCACGUCACAUGUGAAAACCA
rnacentral:rRNA from 1 species